AGUUGAGUCAGAAGAGAGACCCCAGCAAAGAAAAUACAUUUCCUCUCCACAGGUCAGUUGACAAUGUUUACAGAUACUCUGGCCACUCCCCAUAGUCACAUGCCACUGAAGACAACCCCCAGCCUCACAGUCACAUAUUACCCCAGGUACUAUGGUAGGAUGAGAUCAUCCUCGGAGAUAAUGCAAAUGCUAAUGCCCUAAUCCUGGGAAUCAUAAUGCAGAAGAUUUCCUGACCCAGUGAUUCCCAAGGACAACAUAGGUGUGAUGUAUUCGAACUUCGGAGUGGCUCUGAAAAUGAGUUCUGGUCCUGCUUCUGCCUCAGACAACGUAGGUGUGAUGUAUCCGAACUUCGGAGUGGCCCUGAAAAUGAGUUCUGGUCCUGCUUCUGCCUCAGACAACGUAGGUGUGAUGGGCCUCAGCGUUGGGGAUGAUCAAGCAAGCGACACUGAUUGGCUGGGGAUGGCUAUAAAAGUAUGAUAGAGAUUCAACAGUAAUUUAACUUGAUCAUAGGGAGUUCAGUAGCAAAUGACUGUGUAAUUGGAGUUAGGGUCAUUCGCAUUCCUGCCUGACUGUUGUCCCCACCCACUUCCAGAACAUUCACUCAGUGUAGUUUAACCCUUAAUAUUACAUUAGUGUCCAGAAAGAUAUUCCCAUUUAAUCUUUCCACAUUACAGAAUAGAAGGAUCUGCUGAUGGGGAGUUGAAGAGGGGAGGGUGAAGGUUCAUGUAGAGCAUAUAUACUGACUGAGACCAAUUUAGUCAAUUGGCCUGGCCCUGGGUACAAACUUAAUGGAACAAA